CCUCAGCUCCUCCCAGCGGCCUUGGACUCUGGGACACCUUGGGGGGAGGGGUAGUGCGACAGCUCAGCCGACUGAACCCCUAACUGCUUCCACGAUUCACAGUUAGGCAUGCUGAGACCUACGACGUACUAUUGAACAGUCACCAUCUCAUGACAGUGACACGACGACACCGGGAUCGGCUUACCUCCAUGACGGCGAAGGGCUUGUCCACCGAAUGGUAGCAGGUCUGGAAUUGCGUGAGCCAGUGGCGUGCUUCCCCCGGGCUGGCACCACACUGGUUCAGGAAGGCCUGGAUGUCCCGCUGCACCAGUGAUCUGCCGGCGGGAGGCGCAGGGGAUUCGAGGGGCGUUGGAAGCGGUGUCCACGACGGCUCCUCGACCGCAGGAGACUGGACACGACCCUUAGCGCCCUCGGCGUCCUCUGCGUGAGCCCUGGCGGUGCUGAGCCGGCGUCCCGGGCUGGCGCUCUUUGCCCCGCGCCGCCGCGCGCUGCCACUCAGUCUCCGUGAGCCCCCAGGACCUCCCGGGCUGCGCAACCUUCUGGCCGCUGCAGCAGACCGCAGGGCUGUGGCCACCCACGCCGUCGCCAUGACGACAACCAAACCCACUCGUCCCCCCCACCCACAGGAUGCUGGACUGGGGGUGCAGUCCUGUGGUAUAUGUGAGAGAUUCUGGGUCGUAGCCAUGAAGGAAAAAAAAAUCCAGAGGCUGCUGGGUGAGUGUGUUGACCCUUUCCUGGAAACUGUCCCUUCAACACACCCACACAUACUGGCCCGGGAGUCUGGAGUGGGAGGAGAGUCUGACCUUUGGGUCUUUCCUCAUUGGUAUUUCCAUUCUCCAACUUAGAAAACUAGACAGGCAGUGCUGUAAGGCUGGUCAGGUCUGUGUGUGGCACUGGCACCUGUGUUCACACACACACACACACACACACACACACACACACACACACACACACACACAGGCAUGCAGCAUGCAUGCACACAUUCAUGAUGUGGACCCCCUAGAGCCGUUUUUCUCUUUCCUCUGUACACCCAGCCACUGCGCCCCUGUCACAUACACUUCUCAAGGUCCCCGGAGGAGCUGGGCCUAUCCCUUGAGCUAUAACUUUCACCCUAAAACUCCUCCCUGACUUCAGGGUCUCCAGCCUUCAAUAAGCUGCCCUUCCCUCCUGGCUGUUCUGCAUCUGAGAGCUCUCCCUUCCAAACAUCUCUUCCUCUUCCUGAUCUAGUGCCCUUCAUCUUUGUCCCAGACUGGAGGUCCCUGGAGACAGGGCUGCUGCCCCCUUCCUCGGACUAGGGGAUUCCUGAGUGUCCACCUACCCGUUCAGUUCAGGAAGUGUCAUCAAUGUAACCCCAUUAUCCCUGACAGAUACUGGCUGGGCUCCCACCUAGAGGGCUGUGUCCCCAGGCAGCCAAUGGGACCCAGGUAUACCCGAGUGAAUGAUUAACACCAAGCUCAUGGACCUGGGGCCACUGGGUCCCAGCUGCUUCCUACUUACGGAAGGCCAGCCUCUACAUGAAUACAAUAUAUAUGAACAGCGACUUGACCUUCCAACAAAGCAAAAGCCUCCCAUGGCGGACUCCUCAGCCCUAAGAGUGGCGGCUCUCCUUCUCUCCCCACUCCUUAUCCUUUCCUAUUAUUUUGAUUGUUUCUGAGACACAGUCUCAGUGCCAUUCCCCCCAUCCCCCCACCCCCCCCAUCCUAGGAUCUUAGUGUCUUCACCCCUACCCCCAUGCUGGGAUUUUAGGCAUGCACCUCCACCGUGUUCCAAACUCAGAUUCCCUUAAUACUGCAACAAGCAUUUUGCUAACUGAGCCAUCUCUAAAGAGCUUCUGUAUCUUAAUUUCUUUUUAAAAUGUAC